UCCCAACCAGAGGGUAGUUCUAGACUCCAUUUUCAGACUUGCAAAUGAAGGAUACAAAAAAUACAAGGAUGAAAUUGUGAAAAAGUGAAAAAAAGGCUAUUUAUUCUCAGGAAUGUAUACCCUCCAUCACAGAUCAUAAAAUUCCAUGAUGAGGAAUUCCAAUUCUCAUAGUAUACAUAAAAAAAUGAAAAAAUAAAUAAUUGAAAAUGUAAUCAAUACAUAUGAAUAACAAAGUACUUACCAUUCUCUUCCAUAUACAAAGGCUUCGCUUGGCUAAAAAAGUCUUUUAACUCAUUUAGUAACCUCAGUUUUGGCUGAAAAGCCCCACUUUAGUCACUAAUUAAUUACCAGAUACUUCCCUUGAAUAAUAGAUUAAUGUUCACUGACUAGCUCUAAAAGAAACCUCUAGGGGCUGUGGGGGCUUCCAAAAUAAGUUGUCUAUUUGUAAUGUUUUAAUGCUUUUGCAAACAAUCAAAAGCCCUGGAGACAUAGCAUACUGUCAAGAAUAUGUAACACUUAAACAUCGCUGAAUAUGAAAACAAAGAACAAACACAAGAACACAGGAAACAAAAGCAGAAGAAUUGUAAAUUACUUUUCAUCACAAGAAUAUAAGAUUUACAUAAUUCACUCAAAACAAGGGUUACAACUAUCACAUGUCUCAAGCGCAAAAAUACCAAAAAUAGCAUUACUCCAAAUUCGGGAUAGUCUCCAAUACUUGAUGGGAUCCGCACUACACAACACACACUAACUACAUGAGUACUUAAGAAUAUUAUUAUUUUUUGGAAGGCUGUAGUACUAUCAUGUAUGCUCAUAUAAAAAAGAACAUAUAAGGCCAAAUAUCUGUCAAUGUGGUAACUGGUAGGACACUCUGGUUUAAUGCCUUCUUGUGACAAUGGAGAGAGGUUAACCACAAUCCAUAACACUACAGUAUAGCUUCUCCAUGGGCAAGUUUCAAGUAAUUGGGGUUUGAGUUUAACUUAUUAUAUACUAGGGUCUGGCUCAUAGGAAGGGUACCAGGUUUGAUUUGUAAUCAGGCAGCAGCUUCUAUUUAUUUUUUAUUUUUUUUGCCAAAAUUUUCAUCUGGUUUUUCUUCUUCUUCUUCUUCUUCUUCUUCUUCUUUUGACUUGGUUCUGAAACUCUAUUGAUUUAUCCUAUACAUGUUCACUUCUUUGUUCAUUAUAAACAGAUGACUGGAUUAGAAAUACUUUCAAUGUUUUUCCAAGUGUUUUCCAAAAACAGUUUAUUGACUGUCUCUACCAUAUGUUUCUUGAUAAGUUCCAUAUGCUUGUACAUGCAUUAUCUCCUACACUAGUCUAGUCUCCAUCCGACUUCAACUCACUUGAAAACAGGAUUCCUCUAAAGCUCAAACCAUGGGCCCACUUUGUCCAGAUGAUGAAACUGACUCAGAAUUCCAACAGUUUAUUGAUGAUCAGAUUGAUACAAUUCCACAGGAUUUCAAAGAACUCAAAAAUGGAACACUGCCGAUGUGGCAGAUUCCAGUGAUCCAGUUUUCGCACACAAUGAAGAUAGUUCUACGCUUCCACAGGUCAUCCAACACCAGUUGGCUACACUUCAAAAGAAUUUUGAUGAAUUCGAAAAGACAAUGCUGCAUCCGUAUGAAAUGGAUCCUAUGAAUUCGCAGAACUUGAGUGAAUGGAACUUUGCAAGGGCUAAUCAAGACAAAUAUAUGAUAAUCCAGAAUGGGACACAGAAAGAAGGGCAAUUUCUCAUGGAAGGUACUCACAAUUUCACUGAAAAUAUGAAUGUGAUAAGUUACAUGAGUCAUGGCAGCAGUGGUGGUGGUUGCAUCAGUGGAGGAAGUGAGGUAGCGGGUCCAUUUGUAAAAUGUGCAAAUGAGAUCAGUUAUGGAGGUAGUGGUGGAGCGGUGAGAUCUUUUACGAAAUAUGGAUUCUUAGUUCAAUAUGGCAAUGGAAUGAAUGUUCGGCGAUGGAUGGGAGGGAGUGCUACAACUACAAGGGCCAGAGCUGAGCCCAAGGCUCUAAGGAAGAAGAAGAAGAAGAAGAAGAAGUACAGAGGGCAAUUUGAGACUGAAACAGCAGCCGCUGCCAGACAUGAGCAUCAAAAGAUUAAAAACAGAGCAGCAACUGCUCAGUCAUUUCAACAGAAACAGGCUUAGGAAGUCCAGCUACAAGCACACAUUCAGAAACUUCGCAAGGAGAAUGAAUUUCACAAAAAAUUGCUUACGGUUCUUGAAAGUGCUAUGAGGGUGGAUAAACCACAAAAACCACUGAAGAGGACCAUAUCAGCACCCAUGUAAACCUCAAUCAAUCUACACAACCACAAGUAAUUUCCAGUGGCAAUCAUGACAAAGAAAACAUUCUGAAAAAGAAAAUUAAUUAUUUAUGUUUCAAAAGAAGUGUAAACUAUGAUCCUUUCAUAUUAGACAUGAGAGUUUAACUAUGUGUUUAUAUUCAUGAAUAGAUAAAAGAAAACUAUUUUAAAAAGCCCAUAGAAGCAUAAAGCUGUCUUACAAGUCUAACUCAAGCCGUAUGGCAAGGUGAGACAUUAUGGUUCAUUCACAAUUCCAUAAGUUUCACUGUAGUCUGUAGCAUAUAAACUAAGCCCUCUCUAAAAUCACUUCUCAGGAUUGCAACGUACUGGUUUUAAAUGCAAAUUCUACUAGACAUUCUCACAUUCCCAAGUUUAGCAUUUCACCCACCCACAUACACUGCAUUCUGUGAAUGUUCAACAAUGUCACCAGUUUAUAAUAAAACCAUCCAAUGCAGAAAAUAUUUACAAUAUAACUCCAGUAAUAUAUCCAGGUCCCAAAGUACUAGUAACACAAAGCAUAUGUAUUGCUUCCCCUUUGUGCUCAUACAUUUAGCCUCUUGACAUCAGUUCAUGAAGACGCAUAAUACCAAAAAUUUUCCAUAAAUACCCUUGACAAAUUUUCAUAGCCAUGUCACAACUACUCAAUAUUUCAUUGAAACCUGUGACCUAACCAAACCAAGCCAAGCCUUAAGUCCCAUCAAAUGGGAUCGGCUACAUGAAUCCUUAUUUUCCACUCAACUCUAUCCAAAGCUAUUUCGUUAGUCAAAUUAAGGAGGUUCAUAUCUCUAUUUACUACAUUAGCCCACGUCAAUCUAAGUGUGUCCCUUCUCCUAAUACUUCCAUCUAUCGUCACUUGCAUUUCUUCACUACUACCUCUAUUGGUCUCCGUUGUAUAUGGCCAAAUCAUCUCAAUCUAUUCUCUCUCAACUUAUCUUCUAUCGGUACUACUCCUAUCCAUUCUCAAAUAUACUCAUUCCUAACUCUAUCUUUUCUAGUCUUGCCACACAUCCACCUUAGCAUCCUCAUCUCAGCAACACUUAUCUUAUCUACAUAUUAUUUCUUAGUUGCCUAAUAUUCCGAACCAUACAACAUCGCUGGUCUAAUAGCCAUUCCAUAGAACUUCCCUUUUAGUCUAAUAGGUAUUCGUUUAUUGCACAAUACCCUAGACGUACUCCGUCACCUAAACCACCCCACCUUAAUUCUAUGGACCACAGCCGCUCCAAUCUCUCCAGCCGUUGUGAUAAUCGAUCCUAAAUAACGAACAUGUUCACUCUUAGAUAGUUCUUGACUCUCAAUCUUCACUUCUCCUCUACUUCCAUUGUUAUUGUUACUAAAAUUACACUUUAUGUACUCUGUCUUAGUUUUGCUCAUCCUAAAUCCUUUAGAUUCAAGUGCUUCUCUCCAAGUCUCCAACUUAGUAUUAACUCAUUCUCUAGUUUCAUCCACUAACACGAUAUCAUCUACAAAAAGCACACACCGUGGCACAUCAUCCUGAAUAUUUCUCGUUAACUCAUCCAUAACUAAAGUAAAAAGAUAAAGACUUAAGGUUAAUUCUUAGUGUAAUCUUACAGUAAUUAAAGAUUUACUUAUUUCUCCAGCAAGCGAUCUAAUAUUGGUCACCACACCUUCGUACAUAUCCCUAAUUACAUCGAUAUAACCUUUUAUUAUCCCUUUCUUCUCUAACACCCACCAGAUUAUAUUCCAAGACACUCUAUCAUAUGCUUUCUCAAAAUCGAUAAACACCAUAUUUUUUUUUUUCAGCAACAAACAAAGAUAUAUUAAGGCACAAGGCCAAGAAAAAAGAGGAUAAGGCAUCCUCUUACAAGAGAGAUGGAAAAAACCAAAAAGAGAAAAAAGAAAAUACAAAAAUACCAAACUCAAAAUUGCUACACAGAACAAACUGACACCCAAUCGGUAGCAAACAAAAAAAGGGAAAUCCCUCGGAAUACUGAGCUCGAUAAAUACCAUAUGAAUAUGUCUUUUCCUUUCUCUAUACUUUUCUAUUACUCUUCUCAAAAUAUAGAUUGUUUCCAUUGUUGACCUACCAGGCAUAAACUCAAAUUGAUUCUCUGACACCUCUGUUAUAUCUCACUAUCGACAUUCCAUCGCCCUCUCCCACAGUUUCAUUAUAUGACGCAUUAGCUUGAUUCCUUUAUAGUUGUUGCAAUUUUAGACAUCUUUAUUCUUAUAAAUUGGCACUAAAAUACUCUUCCUUCACUCAUUUGGCAUGUUCCUACUCAAUAAAAUCUUACUAAACAACCUAGUCAACCAAGCAACCCCCUUCUUACCCAAACACUUCUAAACUUCAAUAGGGAUAUCAUCGGGUCCUAAAACCUUAUUCGAUUUCAUCUUCUUAAGUGCAAUCUCUACUUCAAAUUUCCUAAUCCUACGAUAGAACCCGUAGUCCCGAUUUUCUUAUUACUGACUAGUUCCUCCCCUUUUGACCUACCUCCACGUUCUUCACUUAACGACUUUUCAAAAUAGUUCUUCUACCUCUCCUUAAUCUCUUCAUCCUUCACCAAUACCUUAAGUCCUCACUCUUGAUGCACUUAACCUAAUUAAAAUCUCUUAUUUUCCUCACUCUUAUCUUAGCAAG